GGGUACAGUGUGAUUGCUUUGGGAAUUCAGAGUAGUAAGCUUGUUUCAUGAGGAGCAGCAUGCAUUAAUUAUUUUUAUAAGGUAAACUACUACUUCAGGCAACUCUGGAUUGAGCUUUUAGUGGAAUUGGAAAAAAACCAAACAAACCAAGAUUAAAGGUUAAUGGGAUUGUGAACUUUAAGAGUGCUCAGUCAGUGAAGGUGCCGAUGGUGGGAUGAUAAGCUUAAGAGAUAAUAAAGAAAUUGACAGUUUGAGUUUUACAGCUUAAAAGUUACUUUUAUACAUUCAAAAGAUUCUUGUUAGAACUAUUUGUGUUCAGACAGGAUGAGUUAAUUUCAAAAAAGAGGAGUAAUUAAGCCCAUGUCUUUUUUUCUAAAACCGAGUAGGUAAAUACAGUUUUGAUCACAUAAGAAAAGGUGUUUAUUUAAUAGUCAUUUUGUUAUAAUACCUUACUUCAAACAAGCUACUAAAAUAAAGGAAAAUAUGCUUUCCCAGCUACAACAGAGCCUUAGUGUGCUGUGUUACCCACGUGCCAGUGUGCACGUCUCUCUGAGAGAGAGAAAGGUUGGAGGACACAGGGUGUGUUUUCUUUAGAAACUGUAUUAACAUGGACUGGAGUGGGAUGCAUUGCACGAGAUCAAUAUGCAAUACAAACUGUUUGGAAGGAUCGAAAACUGUGGUGAAGACAGGCUUAAACCCAACUACUUAAAC
rnacentral:lncRNA from 1 species